rnacentral:piRNA from 1 species
UGGAUCGAUCAAAACCCAAUUGGGGACAAUGA